ACGCCCGUAGCUCAAUGGUUAGAGCUGCCCAUGUAAAGGGAAGAUGUGGGUUCGAGUCCCACCGGGCGCA
rnacentral:tRNA from 1 species